UUCCAGACUCCUACGGGAGGCAGCAGUGGGGAGUAUUGCACAAUGGGGGAAACCCUGAUGCAGCGACGCCGCGUGGGUGAAGAAGUAUUUCGGUAUGUAAAGCCCUAUCAGCAGGGAAGAAGAAUGACGGUACCUGACUAAGAAGCACCGGCUAAAUACGUGCCAGCAGCCGCGGUAAUACGUAUGGUGCAAGCGUUAUCCGGAUUUACUGGGUGUAAAGGGAGCGUAGACGGCGGUGCAAGCCAGAUGUGAAAGCCCGGGGCCCAACCCCGGGACUGCUCUUGGAACUGCGUGGCUAGAGUGCAGGAGGGGCAGGCGGAAUUCCUGGUGUAGCGGUGAAAUGCGUAGAUAUCAGGAGGAACACCGGUGGCGAAGGCGGCCUGCUGGACUGCGACUGACGUUGAGGCCCGAAAGCGUGGGGAGCAAACAGGAUUAGAUACCCUAGUAA
rnacentral:rRNA from 1 species